rnacentral:rRNA from 1 species
GAUGAACGCUGGCGGCGUGCCUAACACAUUCAAGUCGAACGGUGACGGGACUUCGGUCCCCGAUCAGUGGCGGACGGGUGAGUAACGCGUGAGCAACCUGCCUUUGCUUGGGGGAUAACAACUGGAAACGGUUGCUAAUACCGCAUAAUGUAGCGAUUUCGCAUGUUAUUGCUACCAAAGAUUUAUUGAGCAAAGAUGGGCUCGCGUCUGAUUAGAUAGUUGGUGAGGUAACGGCUCACCAAGACUACGAUCAGUAGCCGGACUGAGAGGUUGAACGGCCACAUUGGGACUGAGAUACGGCCCAGACUCCUACGGGAGGCAGCAGUGGGGAAUAUUGGGCAAUGGGGGCAACCCUGACCCAGCAACGCCGCGUGAAGGAAGAAGGGCUUUCGGGUUGGUAAACUUCUUUUAGUCAGGGACGAAGAACGUGACGGUACCUGGAGAAAAAGACAACGGCUAACUACGUG